UACGUAGGGGGCAAGCGUUGUCCGGAUUUAUUGGGCGUAAAGAGCGUGUAGGCGGUCAUGUAGGUCCGUUGUGAAAACUCGAGGCUCAACCUCGAGACGCCGAUGGAAACCAUGUGGCUAGAGUCCGGAAGAGGAGAGUGGAAUUCCUGGUGUAGCGGUGAAAUGCGCAGAUAUCAGGAAGAACACCCGUGGCUAAGGCGGCUCUCUAGUACGGUACUGACGCUGAGACGCGAAAGCGUGGGGAGCAAACAGG
rnacentral:rRNA from 1 species